UACGGAGGGUGCUAGCGUUGCUCGGAAUCACUGGGCGUAAAGCGCACGUAGGCGGAUUGUUAAGUCAGGGGUGAAAUCCUGGAGCUCAACUCCAGAACUGCCUUUGAUACUGGCGAUCUUGAGUCCGGGAGAGGUGAGUGGAACUGCGAGUGUAGAGGUGAAAUUCGUAGAUAUUCGCAAGAACACCAGUGGCGAAGGCGGCGCACUGGCCCGGUACUGACGCUGAGGUGCGAAAGCGUGGGGAGCAAACAGG
rnacentral:rRNA from 1 species